GUAAGUCACCUGCACGAGCUCCACUUCAUGUCAGUCUCGCGAUAUCUGGUGACGCGCCUUUAGAAGCUAUAAGUCCUCGAUUAGCUGAAGUACAAGUCCUGGAUAUAACUACAUUUGUCACAGUUCACUGCAAGUUGGUCUUUGAUGCAACAUCCCUGCUAAGGGUGCAGAUAUCAAAAGCUGUCUGCCCCCUAUACUGUAGCUGUACAGGAGAAAAGACCUCCAGUGUUUACCUCUUCUGUCCAUUUGCUUUACCAUCCCAGCUCUCUUCACGCGUCACAUAUUGCAACUCAAACAUCAUCACAGAGAAGUCUGUUGAACUCAUCUAGGAAGGUUGAACACCCUAAACACAAAUCAGGUGGUGCAUCUCCAUGGCAACAAGCUCCAUCUUUGGCCAGAAGCUUAGACUGACAGCGAGCACUCCGCUCACAAGACAGGGGCUUCGUUACUCUCCCUUGAUCACCAAUCAAAUCCAGAUCUCUAGGAUAACUGAGAAAACUCCAUCCACUGAUGAAGGCCACAAGGUGUGUCUGAAAGCC